UAUUUCGGAGUUUUGUGUAUCUAUGACUAUAUAUAUAUUAAUUACACAAUUUGCCUCUACAUAUUUAGUCGUGUCUAUCUAUGACUCUAUGUAUUAGACAAUCUGCCUCUAAAUUUUUAGUCCUGUCUAUCUGUGACUCUCUCUAUAUAUAUAUAUAUUACACAAUCUGCCUCUACAUAUUUAGUCGUGCCUCUCUACGUAUAUAGUCGUGCCUCUACAUAUCUAGUUGUGUGUAUUUAUUUCUUAGUGGUGUAUAUGUAUUUGUUUUAAGGGUUUUUGAAGUGGACCCAUUGGAGCUCUCUGCACUCCAACUCUGAAAGGUGGUGAAGGUAGGCCACGGCUGCUUGUUCAUGAAUACCCCUAGUUACGCAGAAUGAUCAUAUAUAAUAAGAGUGCGUAGUCUAAAGGUUUGCAUGAACUGGGAGACGAGGUUACCUGAUCUUUUUGGUAUUGGAGUGAAGGGAGCUCCCAUGGCCUCUACGUGUGUGAUGUGAUAGAUAUAAAUCUCUCUAUGAUUGUCUUUCUUUCUUGUUACCAUAUAGAUUUAUUUAUUUAUUUUGUCUUUUUUUUUUUUUUUUGGUUUGUAUUUCCUGGUUCAAUCCAAGCAUCUUCAUGGCCUAGCCAGGGAACAAAAAAAAAAAAAAAAAAUAACUCUGAAUAUUAAUUAAUUUAUAACCAAUUCUGUUUUCAUUGAUGGAAUUCUUUUAUUGUUGCAGGGCACUGAUCAGCAGGUUUGGAUUCGCUCUGCAUAUGAAAUCUUCUUCAAGUUGAUUGAGACUCAAAAGCCAGCCAUCUUUGGAGAAGCCAUAUUAUAGAUUCUCAUGGUAAACAGUGUCUUUGGAGGAGCUGCCAAUGUAUCAGCUAGUUCUUUUUAAUGAAAGUAUUUUGUAUUGUAUAUCUCUAAGAAAUUCAGAAGAAUACACAGGAAUCAUAUAAAUUUUUAUUAA